AGUGAACGCUGGCGGUAGGCCUAACACAUGCAAGUCGAACGGCAGCACAGUAAGAGCUUGCUCUUACGGGUGGCGAGUGGCGGACGGGUGAGGAAUACAUCGGAAUCUACUUUUUCGUGGGGGAUAACGUAGGGAAACUUACGCUAAUACCGCAUACGACCUACGGGUGAAAGCAGGGGAUCUUCGGACCUUGCGCGAUUGAAUGAGCCGAUGUCGGAUUAGCUAGUUGGCGGGGUAAAGGCCCACCAAGGCGACGAUCCGUAGCUGGUCUGAGAGGAUGAUCAGCCACAUUGGAACUGAGACACGGUCCAGACUCCUAGGGGAGGAAGCAGUGGGGAAUAUUGGACAAUGGGCGAAAGCCUGAUCCAGCCAUACGGCGUGGGUGAAGAAGGCCUCCGGGUGGUAAAGCCCUUUUGUUGGGAAAGAAAAGCAGCAGGUUAAUACCCCGCUGUUCUGACGGUACCCAAAGAAUAAGCACCGGCUAACUUCGUG
rnacentral:rRNA from 1 species